rnacentral:lncRNA from 1 species
GUGUUUUGAUCACCAGCUUCAAGCCUGUUUACUCGGGAUUUCUGUUUCAUAAACUGCUCCUCAGGCAGGACACUUGCUUUCUAUCUUUGAAUGGUUUACCCACAGACCAGAGGGUUAAGGCUCUCACCUUCUUUUCAAAUCAAAGAAAGAAGAGCCCGGACCUUUCCCACCUCCCUCAGUUUUUAGCAUUUAUUUCUUUUAUCCUUUUUAUUUUAAGCGUACUUAACCUGAACCCUGUCUAUGAGUAAAGCAAUCUUUGGAAUAUUUCCUAAUCCGCUUUCUUUCUCUUUUUCUUAUGCCUUGGGAGCCCAGUCUUUAGGAGAAGCAGCUGCUCACUCGUGACUAAGGAAUGAAUGCCUGGUUAUGUCAAACUAUCCUCAAUCUCUUUCCCCUAUCGGAGUUGGAGAUAGGUACACGCGUAAUAAAAGAAAGCUUUGACAGAUCCAUCGAUCACGUUAAGUGCACAUAGCCCCUCUCGGUUGGUCUUCGCCCUACCUCUUUCGCUAAGACCCUUGUCCUGUCCCUAGAUAUAGCACGUUUAGGAACCUAUCCUAGAGAUUGUGUGCCAAGAGUGGGACAUUUCUCUGAAUAGUAAAGGCGUAAAGGCUCAACUA